rnacentral:rRNA from 1 species
CAGAGGUCCCAAGCGUUGUUCGGAUUUACUGGGCGUAAAGGGAGCGUAGGUGGCAUUCUAAGUCUGAUGUGAAAGCUCUGAGCUUAACUCAGAAAUGGCAUUAGAUACUAGUUUGCUUGAGGAUUGGAGGGGAGAUUGGAAUACUUGGUGUAGCAGUGAAAUGCGUAGAUAUCAAGUGGAACACCAGUGGCGAAGGCGAAUCUCUGGACAAUUCCUGACACUGAUGCUCGAAAGCUAGGGGAGCAAACGGGAUUAGAUACCCCGGUAGUCCUAGCUGUAAACGGUGCACGCUUGCUGUAGGUGGAAUCGACCCCGCCUGUAGCGAAGCUAACGCGUUAAGCGUGCCGCUUGGGAAGUACGGUCGCAAGAUUA